rnacentral:rRNA from 1 species
CCUGGUUGAUCCUGCCAGUAAUCAUAUGCUUGUCUCAAAGAUUAAGCCAUGCAUGUCUAAGUACAUGCCGAAAUAAGGCGAAACCGCGAAUGGCUCAUUAAAUCAGUUAUGGUUCCUUAGAUCGUUUCUUCCUACUUGGAUAACUGUGGCAAUUCUAGAGCUAAUACAUGCAGUGAGCCUGAAGCCCUUUGGGCGACGGGUGCUUUUAUUAGACCAAGAUCGAUCGGGUUUCGGCCCGUAUUGUGUGGUGACUCUGGAUAACUUUGUGCUGAUCGCAUGGCCACGAGCCGGCGACGUUUCUUUCAAGUGUCUGCCUUAUCAACUUUCGAUGGUAGGUUACUUGCUUACCAUGGUUGUUACGGGUAACGGAGAAUCAGGGUUCGAUUCCGGAGAGGGAGCCUGAGAAACGGCUACCACAUCCAAGGAAGGCAGCAGGCGCGCAAAUUACCCACUCCCGGCACGGGGAGGUAGUGACGAAAAAUAACAAUACGGGACUCUUUUGAGGCCCCGUAAUUGAAAUGAGUACACUCUAAAUCCUUUAACGAGGAUCAAUUGGAGGGCAAGUCUGGUGCCAGCAGCCGCGGUAAUUCCAGCUCCAAUAGCGUAUACUAAAGCUGCUGCGGUUAAAAAGCUCGUAGUUGGAUCUCAGUUCCAGACGAGUAGUGCAUCUACCCGAUGCGACGGCUCGGACUGAACAUCAUGCCGGUCCUUUCUUGGUGCACUUCAUUGUGUGCCUCGAGAAGGCCGGUGCUUUUACUUUGAAAAAAUUAGAGUGCUCAACGCAGGCGAGUCGCCUGAAUAAACUUGCAUGGAAUAAUAGAACAAGACCUCGUUUCUGUUCUGUUGGUUUUUGGAAUACGAGGUAAUGAUUAAGAGGGACAGACGGGGGCAUUCGUAUUGCGGCGCUAGAGGUGAAAUUCUUGGACCGUCGCAAGACGAACUACUGCGAAAGCAUUUGCCAAGAAUGUUUUCUUUGAUCAAGAACGAAAGUCAGAGGUUCGAAGGCGAUCAGAUACCGCCCUAGUUCUGACCAUAAACGAUGCCAACCAGCGAUCCGCCUGAGUUACUCAAAUGACUCGGCGGGCAGCUUCCGGGAAACCAAAGUAUUUGGGUUCCGGGGGAAGUAUGGUUGCAAAGCUGAAACUUAAAGGAAUUGACGGAAGGGCACCACCAGGAGUGGAGCCUGCGGCUUAAUUUGACUCAACACGGGAAAACUUACCCGGCCCGGACACUGGGAGGAUUGACAGAUUGAGAGCUCUUUCUUGAUUCGGUGGAUGGUGGUGCAUGGCCGUUCUUAGUUGGUGGAGCGAUUUGUCUGGUUAAUUCCGAUAACGAACGAGACUCUAGCCUAUUAAAUAGGUGCGGGGUUCCCAGCACCUUACAACCUUCUUAGAGGGACAAGCGGCUCCUAGCCGCACGAAACAGAGCAAUAACAGGUCUGUGAUGCCCUUAGAUGUCCGGGGCCGCACGCGCGCUACACUGAAGGAAGCAGCGUGUCUUUAUCCCUGUCUGAAAAGACUGGGUAACCCGUGGAACUUCUUUCGUGAUUGGGAUAGGGGCUUGCAAUUGUUCCCCUUGAACGAGGAAUUCCCAGUAAGCGCGAGUCAUAAGCUCGCGUUGAUUACGUCCCUGCCCUUUGUACACACCGCCCGUCGCUACUACCGAUUGAAUGAUUUAGUGAGGUCUUCGGACCGAUGUCCGGCGCGGCCUUUCGGUUGCGCCGGUCUGUUGGAAAGAUGACCAAACUUGAUCAUUUAGAGGAAGUAAAAGUCGUAACAAGGUUUCCGUAGGUGAACCUGCGGAAG